CGCACAUCAGUUAACAUAAUAGCAAAUGAUUGAAAUUUAAUUUGGUUAUAUGUUGUGUAAUCCACAUUUUUACAUAAUAUGGACUCACUUUAAGUUAUACCCAAUAACAAGUUUCAAAAAUGGAGAUGCCUCGUUUGCUUGGACCUAUUUAUUGAUCAGAUUUGGGUUACGGAGAUGUAUGCACUACUAAAAAUUAGUGAAUAUACAUACUUAAGAUUUCUACAUUUUACUGUAGUCAGUUUUACAACAAAAUAUUGAAAUGCUA
rnacentral:lncRNA from 1 species